rnacentral:rRNA from 1 species
UCCUACGGGAGGCAGCAGUGGGGAAUAUUGGACAAUGGGCGCAAGCCUGAUCCAGCCAUGCCGCGUGUGUGAAGAAGGCUCUAGGGUUGUAAAGCACUUUAAGUUGUGAGGAAGUUACGAUUGCAAAUAGUGAUCGUAAUUGACGUUAGCAACAGAAUAAGCACCGGCUAACUCCGUGCCAGCAGCCGCGGUAAU